GAAUCAGGAGGAUGGAGCCUGGCUGGGCUGCAAUGCCAGCAUCUUCCGGGGCCUGAGACUGUGGCAGUGGGAAGGUCAGGGCUACCCGGUGACAAGGUCUCGGCUGCCCAAGCGGCACUUCCAGCCCACUGGGGCCCUCUCUGAUCAUGUGACUGCCGGUGAUGGGGGGCCGGCUCUCUGGAUGCACCCUGCUUCCCACACUUGCAUCUGAGUAGAGCGACCAGAGUCCUGUGCGGAGACUCCCCCUGGACGCACACUGAGGACAAGGCCCUUGGAAAUCACACAGGACCCCAUCAUCUGACAUGGGGGCACUUUGCAACCCAGUGUCCACCCAAGUGGCAAAGCCUGACUUGGAAGGAGCAUUUUCACAGGAAAUUCAAAAACAGAAAUCAGGCCCAGUGGAAUGGCUCACCACUUCCCCAACCUGACUGCCUGAGUUCGUCCCCUGGGACCUGCAUGAUGGAAGGAGGGAGCCAACUCCCAAAAGCAGCCCCCUGGCCCACACAGGUGAGCUGUGGCAUGCCCAGGUACACACACAUACACAUAGAGGCACCAUAAACAGAAAAUGUAAAACAACAACAAUAAUAAUAAUGUGUUGUUUGACUGUUCCGGUUAAGACAAGUCUCACACAGCCCAGG